GUGAGGAAUAUUGGUCAAUGGGCGGGAGCCUGAACCAGCCAAGUCGCGUGAAGGAAGAAGGAUCUAUGGUUCGUAAACUUCUUUUGCAGGGGAAUAAAGUGCAGGACGUGUCCUGUUUUGUAUGUACCCUGAGAAUAAGGAUCGGCUAACUCCGUGCCAGCAGCCGCGGUAAUACGGAGGCUCCGAGCGUUAUCCGGAUUUAUUGGGUUUAAAGGGUGCGUAGGUGGUUUGAUAAGUCAGCGGUGAAAGUUUGCAGCUUAACUGUAAAAAUGCCGUUGAAACUGUCGGACUUGAGUGUAAAUGAGGUAGGCGGAAUGCGUGGUGUAGCGGUGAAAUGCAUAGAUAUCACGCAGAACUCCGAUUGCGAAGGCAGCUUACUAAGCUACAACUGACACUGAAGCACGAAAGCGUGGGGAUCAAACAGGAUUAGAUACCCUGGUAGUCC
rnacentral:rRNA from 1 species